rnacentral:miRNA from 13 species
UUAAGUUCUUUGAGGACAGGGA